AUUGAACGCUGGCGGCAUGCCUUACACAUGCAAGUCGAACGGCAGCGCGGGAGCAAUCCUGGUGGCGAGUGGCGAACGGGUGAGUAAAGUAUCGGAACGUGCCCAGUCGUGGGGGAUAACGUAGCGAAAGUUACGCUAAUACCGCAUACGAUCUAUGAAUGAAAGCGGGGGAUCGCAAGACCUCGCGCGAUUGGAGCGGCCGAUAUCAGAUUAGGUAGUUGGUGGGGUAAAGGCUCACCAAGCCGACGAUCUGUAGCUGGUCUGAGAGGACGACCAGCCACACUGGGACUGAGACACGGCCCAGACUCCUACGGGAGGCAGCAGUGGGGAAUUUUGGACAAUGGGCGAAAGCCUGAUCCAGCCAUGCCGCGUGCAGGAUGAAGGCCUUCGGGUUGUAAACUGCUUUUGUACGGAACGAAAAGGUUUGGCCUAAUAAGCUGAGCUCAUGACGGUACCGUAAGAAUAAGCACCGGCUAACUACGUGCCAGCCGCCGCGGUAA
rnacentral:rRNA from 1 species